UACCAGACUCCACGGGAGGCAGCAGUGGGGAAUAUUGCACAAUGGGCGAAAGCCUGAUGCAGCAGCGCCGCGUGAGCGAUGAAGGCCUUCGGGUCGUAAAGCUCUGUCCUCAAGGAAGAUAAUGACGGUACUUGAGGAGGAAGCCCCGGCUAACUACGUGCCAGCAGCCGCGGUAAUACGUAGGGGGCUAGCGUUAUCCGGAUUUACUGGGUGUAAAGGGAGCGUAGACGGCGGCGCAAGUCUGAAGUGAAAGCCCGUGGCUCAACUGCGGAACCGCUUUGGAAACUGCGAGGCUGGAGUGCUGGAGAGGUAAGCGGAAUUCCUGGUGUAGCGGUGAAAUGCGUAGAUAUCAGGAGGAACACCGGUGGCGAAGGCGGCUUACUGGACAGUGACUGACGUUGAGGCUCGAAAGCGUGGGGAGCGAACAGGAUUAGAUACCCCCGUAUG
rnacentral:rRNA from 1 species